CUCAUGGUUUCACGGUAUUGCAAUGAGAACAAUUUAAAACCCUUAGCGAGAAUCAAGUGGAGGACAAGUCUGGUGCCAGCACCCGCGGUAAUUCCAGCUCCACUAGCGUAUAUUAAAGUUGUUGCAGUUAAAAAGCUCGUAGUUGAACCUCUGUCUGGGGCUAGUUUUGGCUUUGGUCAGGCUAGUUCUAGGCAUCCGCCUACAAGACUUAGAGGGCAUUCAGUUGUUCACUAGGAGGAGUAGGCAUUUUACUUUGAAAAAAUUAGAGUGUUUAAGGCAGGCAAUCGCCCGCAUAUAUUAGCAUGGAAUAAUAGAAUAGGACACUUUUCCAUUUCGUUGGUUAUUGGAAUCGUGUAAUGAUUAAUAGGGACAGUUGUGGCCAUUUGUAUUUAAUUGUCAGAGGUGAAAUUCUUGGAUUUAUUAAAGACAAACUAACGCGAAAGCAUUUGCCAAGGAUGUUUUCAUUAAUCAAGAACGAAAGUUAGGGGAUCAAAGACGAUCAGAUACCGUCCUAGUCUUAACUAUAAACUAUUCCGACUCAAUGUUUGACUGGCUUAUAUAACCAGUUGAGCGUUGUAUGAGAAAUCAAAGUCUUUAGGUUCUGGGGGGAGUAUGGUUGCAAAGCUGAAACUUAAAGGAAUUGACGGAAGAGCACAACCAGGAGUGGAUUCUGCGGCUUAAUUUGACUCAACACGGGGAAACUUACCAGGUUAAAACAUUAGUGGGAUUGACAGUUUGAGAGCGCUUUCUUGAUUGGUUGGGUGGUGGUGCAUGGCCGUUCUUAGUUGGUGGAGUGAUUUGUCUGCUUAAUUGCGUUAACGAACGAGACCUUAACCUGCUUACUAGACUGGCGAUCAUCAAUCGUUAGCUCUUCUUAGAGGGACUUUGGUUGUUUUAACUCCAAGGAAGUUUGAGGCAAUAACAGGUCUGUGAUGCCCUUAGAUAUCCUGGGCCGCACGCGUCAUACAAUGACUAGUUCAGAAAGUUUUCUCCUGACCCGAAAGGGGAUGGGUAAUCUUGAUAAUACUAGUCGUGUUAGGGAUCGAUCUUUGCAAUUAUAGAUCUUGAACGAGGGAUUCCUAGUAAGUGCGGUUCAUCAGACCGUACUGAUUACGUCCCUGCUCUUUGUACACACCGCCCGUCGCUUCUACCGAGUGGGUGGUCCGGUGAGAUAAUUGAACUUCGCAGGUAACUGAGAGGAAAGAUUAUCAAACCUAUCCACCU
rnacentral:rRNA from 1 species